UUUUUGAGAGAUAGAUAGCAUGCACGCUACCUGCUUCGUUUAUUUCAUCUAUAAAUAAACUUAGUUAAAAAUGUGAAUCAACUAGGAUUUGAACUUGGGUCUCGACUACCAACCACCAAGUCCUUUGCCACUUGCUCUAGAGACGGUUGGUCAUACUCAAAAAUUUUAAUGAAAGAUUUCUCUUAGGGUGCGUUUGGUUCGAGUUAUCCUGGCAGGAUUACAGGCAAUCCUGUUAGGAUAAUUGUGUUUGGUUAAUCCGCUAUGUAAUCUAGUCGUUAAUGUAGCAUUACAAAUCGAGCAGGAUUACAUCGAAAAUAUUAACGGGAAGGGGGUCGUGUAUCUUGCAUUACUGAAACCCGUUAAUACUACAUAUUAUGUAAAAUGACAACUUUACCCUCCAACAACCCCAAAUCUAAUUAACAGCAGUAUUUUCAUCUCUCUCAACUUCCCCCCGGCCGUCUCUCUCGCACGCCGCUUUCUCUCGCUCUUUCUCUCUCAACGUCUCUCUCUCUCUCUCUCUCUCUCAUGAACACCUAUCAUCUUCUAUUGCGUCGUCCUUCCAAGUAAUCAUCACGAUCUCCUUCCCUCUAUUCGUCAUUUCCGCAAAAAAAUAAUAUUCAAAUGACCAAAACAAGGGCAAUUUUGGAAAAACUAUACUUUUAUAUCAUGAUUACUAAAUUUUAUAAAUUGAACCAAAUAUAUUAAUACUAUAAACACUGUAAUCUACUAUUACAUUACUGUAUUAAACCAAACACUCUAAUGCAGCAUCAGUAGUAAUCUUACGCCGAAAUUCAAAAUAUCUGGAUAUGUCGAGAUACUUUUUAAUAUUACAUAAUUCGAACCAAACGGGCCCUUAUUCAUAUAUUAUCAAUUUUUAAUUGGAUUCACAUCGAAUCC
rnacentral:lncRNA from 1 species